GCGCCUGUAGCUCAAUUGAAUAGAGCACCUGCCUUCUAAGCAGGUGGUUGGCCGUUUGAUUCGGCCCAGGCGCA
rnacentral:tRNA from 1 species